UACGUAGGGAGCAAGCGUUGUCCGGAUUCACUGGGUGUAAAGGGUGCGCAGGCGGAUGAGUAAGUCAGAGGUGAAAUCUCACGGCUUAACCGUGAAACUGCCUUUGAUACUGCUCAUCUUGAGUUCGGGAGAGGUUGAUGGAAUUCCAGGUGUAGCGGUGAAAUGCGUAGAUAUCUGGAAGAACACCAGUGGCGAAGGCGGUCAACUGGCCCGUAACUGACGCUCAGGCACGAAAGCGUGGGGAGCGAACAGG
rnacentral:rRNA from 1 species